AGCUUUGCGCAGUGGCAGUAUCGUAGCCAAUGAGGUUUAUCCGAGGCGCGAUUAUUGCUAAUUGAAAAAGACAAGAGAUAAGUUUUAGCAAGGAUGUGGACACAAAGGAACCCUUCUUAUACCAUUGUUGGACAUGUGAAUUGGUACA